GAACUCAUGACCAUAGGAAGAUCAACUGUUUUCCCACUUUACCCAAUUCUUUCCUACCGUGCAAUCUGAUGGAGAUCAUUCUGCAGACACAUUGGAACCUCAGGCGAAGCCAUCUUAUUCCACUGUCUAUCCUGAGACAUGCAGAUUCUAGCUUUUGGAGCACUGGGGUGCUGCAGGGACAGAAUAACCAAGUAGUGAUGAAUUGUGUCCUUUCCAGUGUCAGAGGCACGUUGAAGUUUUGUAUCUGUGUUAUUAGUGCUUUUUCCAUUUCAAGAGCCUUGACAUCAUUAAUCUUUUCACCACUAUCACUCCUUGGUGAGGCCAUUUUUGUGCAAGUAACCACACAGAUCAGAGAACUACGGUAUUUAACUGUAUCAGGUUUGUGGAUAGAAAAUACAAUUUCAGUAACUAACAAUGAGUUUGCUUUUAUUCUGUCCUAGCCGACUUUGAAUGUUUACCUACCUUGAAGGAAGAGAAGGAAUCAAAUCACAACCCAAGUGACAGUGAAUCCUAAACCUGAAUGGCGCUCAUGUUUUCCAAGAGAAGCAGCCCCUGAGGGAGUCUGCUGAGGCUGCCAACAGAGGAUGAAGAGGAUACAAAUUUAAUUAAUUUCAAAUCAACAUAGACACAAGAACCUUUUGCUGUUUCUUCCAACGCCCACUCUUCCUAAUGAUGGCAUCACUUGCACUUGGAAGAAUGUGCAAUUGAGAAGUACUAGGAAAAGGCCUGGCUGCCAUCCAUCGCUGCCUCUGAGGGUGGAGAAGGAGGCGGGUGAUGUGCUCACUUCUGAUCAACAUGUGUUGCCUCCUCU
rnacentral:sRNA from 1 species